GGAAUUGUUCGCAAUGGGCGCAAGCCUGACGACGCAACGCCGCGUGGAGGAUGAAGACCUUCGGGUCGUAAACUCCUUUCGAUCGAGACGAACGGCCCUCGGUUGAACAAUCCGCGGGAGUGACGGCACCGAGAGAAGAGGCCCCGGCUACCCCCGUGCCAGCCGCCGCGGUAAUACGGGGGGGGGCAAGCGUUGUUCGGAAUUACUGGGCGUAAAGGGCUCGUAGGCGGCCGACUAAGUCAGACGUGAAAUCCCUCGGCUUAACCGAGGAACUGCGUCUGAUACUGGACGGCUUGAAUCCGGGAGAGGGAUGUGGAGUUCCAGGUGUAGCGGUGAAAUGCGUAGAUAUCUGGAGGAACACCGGUGGCGAAGGCGGCAUCCUGGACCGGCAUUGACGCUGAGGAGCGAAAGCCAGGGGAGCAA
rnacentral:rRNA from 1 species